GGACUGGGAGUAAAGUAUAAGGUUGCUGACACUUGGGGCAAUACCAUUGUUAAGCUCACAUGAUGCCAAUAGCAUUUGCACAUUUAAACUGUCAGACCAGUAUUGACUACUGCCUGAAGUCAUUUAAAGUACACUUUAAAACGAUCUUUGCCUUCAUUCCAUGCAGGCUCACACUAAAUGUGUCCUGGCCACACAAACGAGUAUCAUACAACAUGGCAGCCAAGAGAACACCACUGUGGAAGCAUAUCUUUCAGACCCAGCGGGAAGUCUCCAAACUAAAAGCUUCUCUCGAAUAUCGCCCCAUCCAUCUGCUGUCCCAGCACCAGCCCAAGGAGGACUGGUUCCCCCAAAAGCCUGGGUCCUCCCAAGGUUUCUUCCAGCUUCUGGGAGUUUUACCUUGCCACUGUCGCCGAUGGCUUGCUUCUGGGGGCAUGAGGACAGUGUUCAUUUCUAUUUUAUACAUAAUAAAAAAAAUGGAAAAAAAAACCAUACAAGAACUUUUAACAUAUCAGCUGUUCUAUAUUACAUUUGUCAAUGAGGUGAACACAAACUAAUGUAUAUUUAUAUUUAUAUUUA
ensembl:lncRNA